rnacentral:rRNA from 1 species
UACGGAGGGUGCAAGCGUUAAUCGGAAUUACUGGGCGUAAAGCGCGCGUAGGUUGUUUGUUAAGCGAGAUGUGAAAGCCCCGGGCUCAACCUGGGAACUGCAUCCGAUACUGGCAAACUAGAGUAUAGAAGAGGCAAGUGGAAUUCCAGGUGUAGCGGUGAAAUGCGUAGAUAUCUGGAGGAACAUCAGUGGCGAAGGCGACUUGCUGGUCUAAUACUGACGCUGAGGAGCGAAAGCGUGGGGAGCAAACGGG